GUUUAUGGCGGCUGUGCGUGGGAGACUUUCGAGUCUGCCGGGUUUGAUUCUUCCUGGUCUGCGAACCCGCGCACAGUUGCCACCCAU
rnacentral:antisense_RNA from 1 species